UUUCCGUAGGUGAACCUGCGGAAGGAUCAUUAAUGAGUUGUCAUGGGGUUCGAUGCUGGCAGCCAAUCUUUGGAUGCAUGUGCUUGCCCUAACAAUCAUCUUCCAAACACCUGUGCACAUUUUUGAGGGAGUCUUGAGUUGGUUGCCGCUCUUGGGUGAUUUUCUCACAUUCCCUUAAAUCAUUAUACGCUAUUAACAAUGUUGAACGUGCUCCGUGCCGCAAGGCUAUUAAUAUAAUACAACUUUUAACAACGGAUCUCUUGGCUCUCGCGUCGAUGAAGAACGCAGC
rnacentral:misc_RNA from 1 species